GACGAACGCUGGCGGCGUGCCUAAUACAUGCAAGUAGAACGCUCAAGGAGGAGCUUUCUCUUCUGGAUGAGUUGCGCACGGGUGAGUAUCGCGUAUGUAACCUGCCUGGUAGCGGGGGAUAACUCUUGGAAACGCUAGCUAAUACCGCAUAACAGUUGAUGUUGCAUGACAUUCACUUAAAAGAUGCAAUUGCGUCACUACUAGUUGGACCUUCGUUGCAUUAGUUACUUGGUGGGGUAACGGCUCACCAACGCGACGAUAGAUCGGCGACCUGGGGAGGGGGUCGGCCACACUGAGACUGGGACAACGGCCAGACUUCUACGGGAAGCAGCAGGAGGGAAACUUCGGCAAAGGGGGGAAGUCUGGACGGGCAACGCCGGGGGGGGGAAGGAAGUUUUCGGAUCGUAAAGCUCUGGUGUAUGGGGAGAACGAGUGGGGGAGUGGAAAGUUCACGCUGUGACGGUAUCUAACCAGAAAGGGACGGCUAACUACGUG
rnacentral:rRNA from 1 species